UGGGGUGUGGCUCAGAGGUAGAGUGUUUGCCUGGCAUGCGUGAGGCACUGGGUUCGAUCCUCUGCACCACAU
rnacentral:tRNA from 1 species